GAUGAACGCUGGCGGCGUGCUUAACACAUGCAAGUCGAACGGAAAGGCCCAAGCUUGCUUGGGUACUCGAGUGGCGAACGGGUGAGUAACACGUGGGUGAUCUGCCCUGCACUUCGGGAUAAGCCUGGGAAACUGGGUCUAUUACCGGAUAGGACCACUUCUUGGAUGUUGUGGUGUAAAGUUUUCUCGGUGUGGGAUGAGCUCGCGGCGUAUCAGCUUGUUGGUGGGGUAUUGGCCUACCAAGGCGUCGACGGGUAGCCGGCCUGAGAGGGUGUACGGCCACACUGGGACUGAGAGACGGCCCAGAGUCCGACGGGAGGCAGCAGGGGGGAAUAUUGCACAAUGGGCGCAAGCCUGAGGCAGCGAGGCCGCGUGGGGGAUGACGGCCUUCGGGUGGUAAACACCUUUCGCUAGGGAAGAAGCGUUUUUGUGACGGUACCUGGAGAAGAAGCACCGGCUAACUACGUG
rnacentral:rRNA from 1 species